rnacentral:rRNA from 1 species
GCGAGCGGCGGAUGGGUGAGUAACACGUGGGGAACCUGCCCCUAAGUCUGGGAUACCAUUUGGAAACAGGUGCUAAUACCGGAUAAUAAAGCAGAUCGCAUGAUCAGCUUUUGAAAGGCGGCGUAAGCUGUCGCUAAGGGAUGGCCCCGCGGUGCAUUAGCUAGUUGGUAAGGUAACGGCUUACCAAGGCGACGAUGCAUAGCCGAGUUGAGAGACUGAUCGGCCACAUUGGGACUGAGACACGGCCCAAACUCCUACGGGAGGCAGCAGUAGGGAAUCUUCCACAAUGGACGCAAGUCUGAUGGAGCAACGCCGCGUGAGUGAAGAAGGUUUUCGGAUCGUAAAGCUCUGUUGUUGGUGAAGAAGGAUAGAGGUAGUAACUGGCCUUUAUUUGACGGUAAUCAACCAGAAAGUCACGGCUAACUACGUGCCAGCAGCCGCGGUAAUACGUAGGUGGCAAGCGUUGUCCGGAUUUAUUGGGCGUAAAGCGAGCGCAGGCGGAAAAAUAAGUCUAAUGUGAAAGCCCUCGGCUUAACCGAGGAACUGCAUCGGAAACUGUUUUUCUUGAGUGCAGAAGAGGAGAGUGGAACUCCAUGUGUAGCGGUGGAAUGCGUAGAUAUAUGGAAGAACACCAGUGGCGAAGGCGGCUCUCUGGUCUGCAACUGACGCUGAGGCUCGAAAGCAUGGGUAGCGAACAGGAUUAGAUACCCUGGUAGUCCAUGCCGUAAACGAUGAGUGCUAA